rnacentral:rRNA from 1 species
GACGAACGCUGGCGGCGUGCCUAAUACAUGCAAGUCGAGCGCUGAAGCUUGGUGCUUGUGCCCACUGGGUGAGCAGCGGACGGGUGAGUAACGCGUGGGUAAUCUGCCUCUGAUCGGGGGACAACAUCGGGAAACGAAUGCUAAUACCGCAUAAAAACUUUAAACACAAGGUUCAAGGGUGAAAGAUGCCAUUGCAUCACUCAAAGGUGAUCCCGCGUUUUAUUAGGUUGGUGGUGAGGUAAAGGCCCACCCAAGCGGUGAUACAUAGCCGACCUGAGAGGGUGGUCGGCCAACAUUGGAAUGGGACACUGCUCAAAAUCCCUCGGGGAGGAACAAUAGGGGAUCUUUGGCCAAGGGCGGAAAGCUGGACGCAGAAAGCCGCGGGGGUGGAGGAGGUCUUCGGGUUGUAAAACUCUGUUUGUUGGGAAAAAAGUUCGUGAGAGUGAAAAGCUCAUCUAGUGACGGUAACUAACCAGAAAGCAACGGCUAACUACGUG